GACGAACGCUGGCGGCGUGCUUAACACAUGCAAGUCGAACGGAAAGGCCCUGCUUUUGUGGGGUGCUCGAGUGGCGAACGGGUGAGUAACACGUGAGUAACCUGCCCUUGACUUUGGGAUAACUUCUGGAAACUGGGGCUAAUACCGGAUAGGAGCUCCUGCUGCAUGGUGGGGGUUGGAAAGUUUCGGCGGUUGGGGAUGGACUCGCGGCUUAUCAGCUUGUUGGUGGGGUAGUGGCUUACCAAGGCUUUGACGGGUAGCCGGCCUGAGAGGGUGAGCGGCCACAUUGGGACUGAGAUACGGCCCAGACUCGUACGGGAGGCAGCAGUGGGGAGUAUUGCACAAUGGGCGGAAGCCUGAUGCAGCAACGCCGCGUGCGGGAUGACGGCCUUCGGGUUGUAAACCGCUUUCGCCUGUGACGAGGCGUGAGUGACGGUAAUGGGUAAAGAAGCACCGGCUAACUACGUG
rnacentral:rRNA from 1 species